UGUAUUCACGUCCUAGCAGUAGGUGUCGCAGCUCGCUGAAUCGAGUCUUAGGCAGUUACCUCUUUGCAAUAGAAUGGACUACAUGCCACAAGAUCGGAGACGCUCGGAAAGGUCUAGAAGUGGGGAAGCUCUGCCCUAGAGUUGUCAUGCAAUAUGUACUUAGGUGUUUAGGAUUUACAAAUGGGAAUAUCUACCUAAUGUUAGCAUGC
rnacentral:lncRNA from 1 species